rnacentral:sRNA from 1 species
AGGACGUGCUAACCACACUGAAGAUCCUCAUCAUCGGCGAGAGUGGAGUGGGCAAGUCCAGCCUGCUCUUGAGGUUCACAGAUGAUACGUUUGAUCCAGAACUUGCAGCAACAAUAGGUGUUGACUUUAAGGUGAAAACAAUUUCAGUGGAUGGAAAUAAGGCUAAACUUGCAAUAUGGGAUACUGCUGGUCAAGAGAGGUUUAGAACAUUAACUCCCAGCUAUUAUAGAGGUGCACAGGGUGUUAUAUUAGUUUAUGAUGUUACAAGAAGAGAUACAUUUGUUAAACUGGAUAAUUGGUUAAAUGAAUUGGAAACAUACUGUACAAGAAAUGACAUAGUAAACAUGCUAGUUGGAAAUAAAAUCGAUAAGAGGCAAGUGCAAAAACCUGUGAUGGUGUACAAUGUGCCUUUGAAGAACUUGUUGAAAAGAUCAUUCAGACCCCUGGACUGUGGGAAAGUGAGAACCAGAAUAAAGGAGUCAAACUGUCACACAGGGAAGAAGGCCAAGGAGGAGGAGCCUGUGGUGGUUAUUGUUCUGUGUUAUAAACUCUGGGAAAUUCCAUCUCUUGCAUAUUUGAUCAGAUAGUGACAUCUUUCUGUAUAUAAACUCUUUAACUGCUAUUUUAGGGACCUUGCAGUUUGCACAUAAUUGUUUUAUAUCAUAGCAGUAAAUAUUUGCAAGAAAUCCCACUCAUCGACCCCGGGUAAAAUGUUAUGGUAAGCAUGCACAGUUUGCAGUCUACAGUUUUUUUAUGUAGCACAAAAUAGGUGUACCUUUAUAAGUACAUUCAAUUUUAUGAUUUACAUUUAUCAUGUAAUUUUUAAAAAAAUCCAUCUAUCUAGGAUAUCUUGAUACAAAGUCUGCUUUUGCUAUUCUUUUUGCUUAAAUACUCCUAUCAUUUUCUGAAUUACUUGGUAUUUAGAACUCCUAGAACCACAGGGAAGAAUAGAGGUAUCAUCAAACGUGGCAAAUUUUCUUUCAGG